CAGAUACGCUAAUACCGUGGGUGCAAAUUCUCUGGAAAAACAAAGAGAUGUUAGAGCACGACAUGCAUUGCCCAAGUCAUCGUGCAGAAACAAUGCCAAUGUAGGAGGAGAACCAGCGCAUGAUGUUGUUCUGUGCUCAAGGAACUUUAAGGAGGUCACAAUAUUGGAUGUGUUAAACAUUCUCCCUGAGGACUAUAAUUAUGAUCCUAGUCUAGCAAAUGUGAGCGUCUUGGAGGCUGCAAAGAGGCGAGGGAUAAAUUUUCCUUAGGUCUUCUUAGCACUUAGCAGCCAGAUGAGGGAAACAAAGUAGGAGAUGAUGAUGAUUAUAAGAGGGAGUAGGUUUCAAGUGAAAACGGGUCUUCUAGGGGAUUUUGCAUGGUUGGUUAAUUUUUGAGGCAUGAGUUGUUUAGUUUACAGCUUCUAUAUCUGCAAACUAGAAGUCAUUCUAAUGCUUUGCUUGUUUGCUGGACUAAUUUGUUUGCUGGAAUUAUUUUGUAGCAUGUCUUGUUAAUAGCUUUAUAUUGCAGUCAUCAUUGAUCCUUGAAUGAGUUUGCAAAUUCCAAUUACUCUUGUUCCUUAAAAUGGGCUAUAACAAUUUCUAUUCGUCC
rnacentral:misc_RNA from 1 species